GGAAAUCUAAAAGAAAGUAGGCGGAGUCCUUUUUGAUUCCAGCAUCUCCCGAAUUUUUCAUAUCUCGAUUUGAGCCAAUUUUCGGCAUCCGAAAUCGAGAGGGAAUUUUUCGCGGGAUUGGCUGGAUUCAAAUUUGAUGUGACAGUUUUAAUAU
ensembl:snoRNA Y105C5A.1283 ncRNA